rnacentral:rRNA from 1 species
CCUACGGGAGACAGCAGUGAGGAAUAUUGGUCAAUGGACGAGAGUCUGAACCAGCCAAGUAGCGUGAAGGAUGACUUCCCUAUGUGUUGUAAACUUUUUUUAUAAAGGAAUAAAACGAGGCACGUGUGCCUUUUGGCAUGUACUUUAUGAAUAAGGAUCGGCUAACUCAGUGCCAGCAGCCGCGGUAAUACGGUGGAUCCGAGCGGUGUCCGGAUUUAUUGGGGUUAAAGGGAGCGUAGAUGGGUUGUUAAGUCAGUUGUGAAAGUUUGCGGCUCAACCGUAAGAUUGCAAUUGAUACUGGCAGUCUUGAGUACAGUUGAGGUAGGCGGAAUUCGUGGUGUAGCGGUGAAAUGCUUAGAUAUCACGAAGAACCCCGAUUGCGAAGGCAGCUUACUAAACUGUGACUGACAUUGAUGCUCGAAAGUGUGGGUAUCAAACAGGAUUAGAUACCCGAGUAGUC